rnacentral:lncRNA from 1 species
AGUUUUCUUACUUUUUGAUUGUCUAAUAGAUGUGUAGUUUGUAAUAUGUGCAUCAUUUCGUUUUGUUGAAAGCAGGACAUUUACAUUAAGUGGAGGAAAGAACCCGCGAAUGCAAUUCAUGCCGUCCCUAGCAUAUUACGGCGACCUCAAAUACUGUUAACGGACAACCUUGCAAGACAUUUUCAUUAAUCCGUAUUUUUU